rnacentral:rRNA from 1 species
GGGCCCGCACAAGCGGUGGAGCAUGUGGUUUAAUUCGAUGAUACGCGAGGAACCUUACCAGGGCUUAAAUGUAGUGGGACAGGUCUAGAGAUAGACCCUUCUUCGGACUCAUUACAAGGUGCUGCAUGGUUGUCGUCAGCUCGUGCCGUGAGGUGUCAGGUUAAGUCCUAUAACGAGCGCAACCCCUGUUGUUAGUUGCCAUCGAGUCAUGUCGGGAACUCUAACAAGACUGCCGGUGCAAACCGUGAGGAAGGUGGGGAUGACGUCAAAUCAUCACGGCCCUUACGUCCUGGGCUACACACGUGCUACAAUGGCCGGUACAGAGAGCAGCCACUUCGCAAGAAGGAGCGAAUCUAUAAAACCGGUCUCAGUUCGGAUCGCAGUCUGCAACUCGACUGCGUGAAGCUGGAAUC